rnacentral:rRNA from 1 species
AACUACAAUUUAUUUUUUUACCCUUUAUAAUUUAACAUGGCCACGCUCUAAUUAGUUUAGUGAAAAUAAAAUUUAUUUUUAGUACUGCAAAGGAAAUUUUAAAUUAAAUAAUUUAAUUCUUCUACCUCUUGUGUCAGGGAAAUUUAAUUUACAGUCAAUUUAGAUAAUUCUCGAAAUAAAUAGAGCUAGUUUUAUACAAACCUAUUCGUAAAAAAGAAUUUAUUAAUCUAAGACUAGAAAAGAAAUCUUAGCCGAUAUUUUAUAUCUAGUUAAUUUAAAAACAAAAAAAUUGUUUACUCUUGUAAAUUCACACGGGAAUAAUAAAUAUGUAAAGGUCAACUUUCUUUUGUGAAAUAGAACUAAUUUUAAUUUUUAUACGUUAAGGUUAAUAGCCUACUUUUAAAUAUAAUUUAAUCUCUUAAACUUAUAAAUUAAAUACCAAUAAUUAUAAACCAUUAUAAUAAAUUUAUCAGUAAUACUUAUAUAAACUUUUAAGCCUAAUCUAAAUUUUAAUUUAUUAUAAAAAGAAGAAAGAAAUUAACUCGGCAAACAGUCUCCCGCCUGUUUAUCAAAAACAUCGCCUAGGGUAUUUUCUCUUAGGUCGCGCCUGCCCAAUGAGUGUUUAAAUGGCCGCAGUAUACUGACUGUGCUAAGGUAGCAUAAUAAUUUGUCUUUUAAUUGAAGGCUAGUAUGAAAGGAAUGACGAGGAGAGAUUUCUGUCUCUCUUUUUUAAUAAAAAUUAAAUUGACAUAAAAGUUAAAAGGCUUUUAGAGAUUAGAAGGACGAACAAGACCCUAUAAAGCUUUACCUUAUGAAUAAAAAUGAAUAUUUAGAUUAAGUCUUAUUUUUAGUUGGUUUUACUGGGGCGGUAAAAUUUUAAAUUUAACAACAUUAAUAAAAACACCUUAAAUGAAAUUUAUAAUCCUAUGUAAAGAAUUAAGAACAAGUUACUUUAGGGAUAACAGUGUAAUAUUUUUAAAGAGCCCUAAUCGCCAAAAAUGAUUACCACCUCGAUGUUGAAUUGAGAUUCCUCCAUAGACGAAGUUUCUAUGAAAGAAAGUCUGUUCGACUUUUAAAUUUUCACAUGAUUUGAGUUCAGACCGGCGUAAGCCAGGUUAGUUUUCUAUCUUCUAAAAAAAAAUCACUCUAAUUGUACGAAAGGACCUUAGAGUAGGGGAUUCCCCUAAGUCUUAAAUAAUAUUUAUUCUAACAAGA